CCUACGGGUGGCUGCAGUGAGGAAUAUUGGUCAAUGGACGAGAGUCUGAACCAGCCAAGUAGCGUGAAGGAUGACUGCCCUAUGGGUUGUAAACUUCUUUUAUAAAGGAAUAAAACGAGGCACGUGUGCCUUUUUGCAUGUACUUUAUGACUAAGGAUCGGCUAACUCCGUGCCAGCAGCCGCGGUAAUACGGAGGAUCCGAGCGUUAUCCGGAUUUAUUGGGUUUAAAGGGAGCGUAGAUGGGUUGUUAAGUCAGUUGUGAAAGGUUGCGGCUCAACCGUAAAAUUGCAAUUGAUACUGGCAGACUUGAGUACAGUUGAGGUAAGCGGAAUGCGUGGUGUAGCGGUGAAAUGCUUAGAUAUCACGAAGAACCCCGAUUGCGAAGGCAGCUUACUAAACUGUGACUGACAUUGAGGCUCGAAAGUGUGGGUAUCAAACAGGAUUAGAUACCCGGGUAGUC
rnacentral:rRNA from 1 species